rnacentral:rRNA from 1 species
UACGUAGGGGCCUAGCGUUGUCCGGAUUUAUUGGGCGUAAAGAGCUCGUAGGCGGUUCGGUAAGUCAGGUGUGAAAUCUCCACGCUCAACGUGGAGACGCCACCUGAAACUGCCGUGACUCGAGUCCGGUAGGGGAGCGUGGAAUUCCUGGUGUAGCGGUGAAAUGCGCAGAUAUCAGGAGGAACACCAGCGGCGAAGGCGGCGCUCUGGGCCGGUACUGACACUGAGGAGCGAAAGCGUGGGUAGCAAACAGG